UCUGGCCCUUUGCCCUUUCUGGGAAACAUAUUUGGCAUAAUGCCCCUGUUUCGAAACUAUAUAGGGGCGUGCCCCUGUUUGUAUACUCAAUCUCCGUAACGGCGAGUUACUUAAGUAACUCGAUUAUGAAGAAACCGAGUUGCGGGCAGGUUCUUGCCACGCUGGUGUUCCAGCUUGGCUUUUGGGCAAUAAAAUAUUCCAGCGUUACUGUUUGGAACUCGUCAAUGUGGAAAACGAGUACUUAAAACCCGAAUAACCGAUAAUCGAGUUAUUCGGUUUACUCGGUUAUUAUAUAACCGAGUUUUAUGCUAUUCUGACGCCAUUUCACAUCAGUUGUACACACGUGAAGCUGAACCCGAUUAAUAGGAAAUCGAGUUAUUAAUACUCGGUUCUUUUAUAAUCGAGUUCUUCUGCUAUAUGCAGUUCUCCUCAUCAUUUUCAGAUAUUCUCCUCAUUCUUAGAAUUUUCGGUCAGGGGCACGCGUUUUCUCUCCAUCAUCUCAGUGUCAAUGUCUGGUUCUGGCAACCCACAACUCUAUAGGCCUCACGAUGUGUUCACUGCUAUGGGUCGUUGCUGGGUAUUGGAAGAUGAGUUUAGCUAUCCAAUCAAUCCAAAUCUGCGAAAUAGUGCUUAUGUUCACAAUACCAUGAGACAGGAGUGGGAUUGGUUAUUUUGUGAACAACAAAUGUUUUAUGAUGAGUUGACUGGUUUUAAGUUGCCAGUGCCUCGGCGACUCGCAUCGCAGAUGCCUAGAGACACGAUUGACGAACUUCGUAAAGCAUUGAACCGCAUAAGAGAAGAAAAUAAUCGAAUGAAGAUACGUCUUAAUCGAUAUCGGACCCAAGUCGAGAUUCGAGAGUCAGUGGAGCGAGGGUGGUACGAGCACGCAUAAUUCAUGCAAUCAGUUCUUGCUGAUCCCAUUUAUCAGUCAGACGUGGAGAUGUCAGAUGAAGACUAAUCGUGUCGUGGUGUAAUUAGACUUUGUUAUUUAACUAUUUUUGUUAACUAUGUUUUAAAUGUAUGUGGGUCACUGUUGUUGCAUUUGUACUAUGUAAACCUUAUUAUUGAUUGUGAGGACCAUGCACAUUAUUCGUAAUCUACUUUAUUCCCACAGAACGCAUAAAA